rnacentral:rRNA from 1 species
GACGAACGCUGGCGGCACGCUUAACACAUGCAAGUCGAACGGAGAUAUUUAGGUUUACUUAGAUAUCUUAGCGGCGGACGGGUGAGUAACACGUGAGCAACCUGCCUUUGAGAGAGGGAUAGCUUCGGGAAACUGAUGGUAAUACCUCAUAACGUAUAUAUGCCGCAUGACAGAUAUACCAAAGAUUUAUCACUCAAAGAUGGGCUCGCGUCUGAUUAGCUAGUUGGUGAGGUAACGGCCCACCAAGGCGACGAUCAGUAGCCGGACUGAGAGGUUGAACGGCCACAUUGGGACUGAGACACGGCCCAG